rnacentral:rRNA from 1 species
CCUACGGGUGGCAGCAGUGGGGAAUAUUGCACAAUGGGGGAAACCCUGAUGCAGCGACGCCGCGUGAGCGAUGCAGUAUUUCGGUAUGUAAACCUCUAUCAGCAGGGAAGAAAAUGACGGUACCUGACUAAGAAGCCCCGGCUAACUACGUGCCAGCAGCCGCGGUAAUACGUAGGGGGCAAGCGUUAUCCGGAUUUACUGGGUGUAAAGGGAGCGUAGACGGCUGUGCAAGCCAGAUGUGAAAGCCCGGGGCUCAACCCCGGGACUGCAUUUGGAACUGUGUGGCUGGAGUGUCGGAGAGGCAAGCGGAAUUCCUAGUGUAGCGGUGAAAUGCGUAGAUAUUAGGAGGAACACCAGUGGCGAAGGCGGACUGCUGGACGAUGACUGACGUUGAGGCUCGAAAGCGUGGGGAGCAAACAGGAUUAGAUACCCUAGUAGUC